rnacentral:lncRNA from 7 species
GAUAGACUGGCCCCUAUCCAUUCAGCCCUCACGUACAGAAAAUACCAAAUUCUGCCAAGAUGUACAGGGUAUUUUGCUUCAUGUGUGAAGAGAAGAGCGCUGCCUGGAGGAUUCUCAUGUCAGUGCCAGUAAAAGCAGAAGCCAGAGAAGCUUGCUUGACCACACUGCCCAGCUGUAAUGAAUGAAUGGAUAACAUCUGAUUGUUAAACAGGGCCACAUUUCCAAAUGGAUCUCCAAGGGCAUGAUGGAGUAGCCAGCAUGGAUUUCCUGCAAUUACUAGACUAUGCUCUACAGAGCAUAAGUGGUUCCUGAAAUACAUAUCCAUUCAAGAUGUGGAUUCUGGGUAUUGUUUUCAGACUAUUCAUAUGUUCACAAGACCAACUUGGAGCCCCUAAGUAGAUUCUGCACUCAUCAAAUUAAAUUUAAGCUUCAAGAGCUAUUUGCUCAGGAUUCUUGUAUCUACCUUCACAUUGGACCAAACCCUGCUUUUGAGAUGCACGCGCUGAAACAUGGAUAUGAAAUAUCUGCAAACUGGGGGGAAGAAAAUUAAAUAAAGCACUUAAAAGAUGUACCAUAUGACCUGUUCUUUACAUCUGGCACAUCUCACACUUCACAGUUGAGAGGACGUGGAAAGACUAAAACUCUUCAUUGCCUCGGUGCAAAGCAUGGACAACUGCAGCCUGAACCACCACAGGCACUACUAGAGAAGGUCUAAGCUCAGAAGAAAACAACCUGUGUGCUGGUGAUGUACAUCUCUGUAUAAGCACCUUCGGAAGAAGUCUAUUUGUGAUUUGAGCCGAGGCAGUACUCUGAGGUGAUCCCCAGAAUGUUUCCUGUGCCCAGGUGCCAGCCUGCACUAGGCAGGAGGAAGAUCCAGAUGUGUGUACCUUUUGCCCAGCCAGGACACAGGAAACUUGGUGUUGUGAGAAUGACAGUGCAGGAAUGAGUUCCCAGCAAGUAGCAGUGCUGCCUUCUACAGCCUAGCAUGGGGUUGGGACUGCUCUCUUCUAUUCCUGCUUGGUUCAGGUAUUUCUUGCUUUGAGGCCAUUUAUCAUCUUAGCAAAAAUCCUCAAAGUCUCAGCUGAUGGGAAAAUGUGAAGAAAGCAACCUUCUACGAGGACUAUAGAACUUAGACAAACAUAAAAUCCUAUUCUGUUUGGGAUAUGGGAUAUGGUUGGGCUAAACUCUGAGUUUCGUGAAUUUUUGAGUUCUUAACUAAAAUACAGAAUCAGAGCCUGCACAGCAAUGUUUCUCUUUUUUUUUUUUUUUUUGCAUUUCUGACUUCAUCGUUCUUUUCCUUACAUACUUUUUCUUUCUUCUGUCUGUAAAUACAUUUGAGGAUUUCUGUAGCUGUAUGUCUUCCAUGUAAAAUUAGAAUGAAAAAUGUUGUGAACUUCCUUUGUUAAGAUGUUUCUUCAUUUUGCAGUUUUGCUUGAGCUAGGAUUUUUGAAUUAGGAUUGUUAAUAAGCAACAACAACUGCAUUCUUUUGUAUAGUUUUUUCACGCUGCAGCGAAAUGAGUUGAGAAGAACGUUCUGGGAUUGGGAUCCAUAUGCCCAGUGUAGGAAUAUGCCCAUUUUUGCUUCUGCAGAGGAAAUUGUGCAGUCUUUUUCAAAAAUUUGGUUAAUGUUUUCAGAAUCUGUUAUGAUUAUAAUUUCCUUUAAAAAUAGAUGGAAUAAUAAAUGAAAAUUGACUGAAGAAUAAUUAUUAUAUAAUUAUAUAGAGAAGAAGAAUAAUUAAAAUAUUAAUAUACAACUACUCUUAUCAUAAAGAUUAAAAUGUUUCUUCUCAUUGAGCUUCCAAAGUACUUCUGUGAUGCUUUUGUUUUCCUCUCAUUGUUGUAAGAUUAAUCAAUCCAAGAUGAAAAUUAUGACUUUAGAGAAGUUAAUGCUUGAUUUAUACAUGAUGAUCAAGACACCUAAUUUUUUAUUCUUUUGAGGAAGCUGAUAUUAAAAAAAAAAAAAAAAACAAUGGUGAUUGGCUAUGUCUUUUAAUUCAGAUCAAAUGAAAGUAAUUUUAUCACGAGUAAUUCCUCUUUUAUUGGUCACCUCCCUCCAAAGUUCUUCUUAGAAAACAAAUGCAGUUCUUGUUACUUUCUCAUUCAAAGUUGCUGAAUGUAAAUGAACUUUUAGAAACAAUACAGAAUCCAUUUGUCAGGAUAAUAACAGUUCUCUGUAACAAUUCUUUCUGUCUCUUCCUGCUCCCCCUACCCACAUUAAUUAUAAUGCUCUUGCAGAACAGAGCUUGAUUCCCUUUUUUAUUAAGGUUGUUUCACUCUAUUAUUGAUUAAGCUUAUUUCCCAUGAUAAAUAACCUUCCUGUC